rnacentral:rRNA from 1 species
GGAUGCCUUGGCGAUAUCAGCCGAAGAAGGACGCGGUAAGCUGCGAUAAGCUACGGAGAGGUGCAAGCAACCUUUGACCCGUAGAUUUCCGAAUGGGGGAACCCGGCAGUGGUUAUGCACUGUCACCCAUACCUUUGAGUAUGAGGAGGGCACCUGGGGAACUGAAACAUCUAAUUACCCAGAGGAAGAGUAAUCAAACGAGAUUUUCUUAGUAGCGGCGAGCGAACGGGAAAGAGGCCAAACCGGAGCGGGCAACCGCACCGGGGUUGAGGACAGUCAUCAAGUGUAAAUGAGGUAGAAGAAUCGAGUUGGAAAGCUCAGCCGCAGAAGGUGAAAGCCCUGUAAUCGAAACCUUGCAUACAUGGGACUGUAUCCAGAGUACCACGAGACACGUGAAACCUUGUGGGAAGCAGGGGGGACCACCCUCCAAGCCAAAAUACUGAUAUCGACCGAUAGCGCAUAGUACCGUGAGGGAAAGGUGAAAAGAACCCCUGGCGGGGAGUGAAAGAGAACCUGAAACCGUAUGUCUACAAACAGUCGAAGUCUGUAUAUAUAUCAGGACGACGGCGUGCCUAUUGAAGAAUGAACCGACGAGUUACUGUUGCUAGCGAGGUUAAGUGGAAAACAUGGAGCCGCAGCGAAAGCGAGUCUGAACAGGGCGUUCAGUUAGUGAUAGUAGACCCGAAACCGUAGUGAUCUAUCCAUGGCCAGGUUGAAGCACAGGUAAAAUUGUGUGGAGGACCGAACUCGUGAGCGUUGAAAAGCUUUGGGAUGAGUUGUGGAUAGGGGUGAAAUGCCAAUCGAACACGGAGAUAGCUGGUUCUCCCCGAAAUAGCUUUAGGGCUAGCCUCGAGGUUGAGAGUAUAGGCGGUAGAGCACUGAUCGGGCUAGGGGCCAUACCGGUUACCGAACCUAGUCAAACUACGAAUGGCUAUACUUAUACUCGGGAGUCAGACAGUGAAUGAUAAGGUCCAUUGUCAAGAGGGAAACAGCCCAGAACACCGACUAAGGUCCCCAAUGUCAUACUAAGUGGCGAAGGAUGUGGAAUUUCCAAAACAACCAGGAUGUUGGCUUAGAAGCAGCCACCAUUUAAAGAGUGCGUAAUAGCUCACUGGUCGAGAGACUCUGCGCCGAAAAUGUCCGGGGCUAAAGUGUAAAACCGAAGUCGUGUCAUAUGCAGCAAUGUAUAUGGGUAGGGGAGCGUUCUCAUCGGAUUGAAGCAGUACCGUAAGGAGUUGUGGACUGGUGAGAAGUGAGAAUGUCGGUAUGAGUAGCGAAAAGAAUGGUGAGAAUCCAUUCCACCGAAAGCCUAAGGGUUCCUGAGCAACGAUCGUCGUCUCAGGGUAAGUCGGGACCUAAGCCGAGGCGGAAAAGCGUAGGCGAUGGACAACAGGUUGAAAUUCCUGUACCGGUGUGAAUCGUUUGAUCGAAGGAGUGACACAGUAAGGUAGGUCAGCACGCGAUUGGAAGUGCGUGUUUAAGCAUGUAGGUUGAGUUAUAGGCAAAUCCGUAACUCUAAAAGCUGAGAUGUGAUGACGAGCUGUUUACAGCGAAGUGAUUGAUCCUACACUGUCGAGAAAAGCUUCUAGGUAGAGACACAUCGCCCGUACCAAAACCGACACAGGUAGGCGGGGAGAGAAUCCUAAGGUGCGCGGGAAAACCCUCGUUAAGGAACUCGGCAAAAUGCCUCCGUAACUUCGGGAAAAGGAGGACUCAUGUAGUGUGAAGGGCAGUAACGCGUGGAGCAUGAAUGAGUGGCACAAGAGAGGCGCAAGCGACUGUUUACCACAAACACAGGUGCCUGCUAAAGCGAAAGCUGAUGUAUAGGUGCUGACACCUGCCCGGUGCUGGAAGGUUAAGAGGAGGGGUUAGACUUCGGUCGAAGCUCUGAAUUGAAGCCCCAGUAAACGGCGGCCGUAACUAUAACGGUCCUAAGGUAGCGAAAUUCCUUGUCGGGUAAGUUCCGACCCGCACGAAAGGCGUAACGAUUUGGGCACUGUCUCAACGAGGGACCCGGUGAAAUUGAAAUACCUGUGAAGAUGCAGGUUACCCGCGACUGGACAGAAAGACCCCAUGGAGCUUUACUGCAACCUAAGAUUGAACUUAGUUAAUGAAUGUACAGGAUAGGUGGGAG